rnacentral:rRNA from 1 species
UACGGAGGGGGCUAGCGUUGUUCGGAUUCACUGGGCGUAAAGGGUGCGUAGGCGGCCGAGUGUGUGAGGCGUGAAAGCCCGGGGCUUAACCCCGGAAUUGCACCUCAAACUACACGGCUAGAGCAUUGGAGAGGGUAGCAGAAUUCAUGGUGUAGCAGUGAAAUGCGUAGAUAUCAUGAGGAAUACCAGAGGCGAAGGCGGCUACCUGGACAAUUGCUGACGCUCAGGCACGAAAGCGUGGGGAGCAAAAGGG